UACAGGGGGUGCAAACGUUGCUCGGAAUCAUUGGGCGUAAAGCGCACGUAGGCGGUUCGUUAUGUCGGAUGUGAAAGCCCUUGGCUUAACCGAGGAAGUGCAUCCGAAACUGGCGAGCUAGAGUACGAAAGAGGUUCGCGGAAUUCCCGGUGUAGAGGUGAAAUUCGUAGAUAUCGGGAGGAACACCGGUGGCGAAGGCGGCGAUCUGGGUCGAUACUGACGCUGAGGUGCGAAAGCGUGGGGAGCAAACAGG
rnacentral:rRNA from 1 species